ACGCUAAGAGGUGGGAAAGGUACCCCACGCGCCCUAGAGGUUAACUAGCGGUUAAAAAGAGAUGCGGGAUACGCCGACCCGCCUUAGCGU
rnacentral:ncRNA from 12 species